rnacentral:rRNA from 1 species
UACGUAGGGUGCGAGCGUUAAUCGGAAUUACUGGGCGUAAAGCGUGCGCAGGCGGUGAUGUAAGACAGUUGUGAAAUCCCCGGGCUCAACCUGGGAACUGCAUCUGUGACUGCAUCGCUGGAGUGCGGCAGAGGGGGAUGGAAUUCCGCGUGUAGCAGUGAAAUGCGUAGAUAUGCGGAGGAACACCGAUGGCGAAGGCAAUCCCCUGGGCCUGCACUGACGUUCAUGCACGAAAGCGCGGGGAGCAAACAGG